rnacentral:rRNA from 1 species
UGGGAACGUGCCCUUUGGUUCGGAACAACUCCGGGAAACUGGAGCUAAUACCGGAUAAGCCCCUCGGGGGAAAGAUUUAUCGCCAAAGGAUCGGCCCGCGUCUGAUUAGCUAGUUGGUGGGUAAUGGCCCACCAAGGCUACGAUCAGUAGCUGGUCUGAGAGGAUGAUCAGUCACACUGGGACUGAGACACGGCCCAGACUCCUACGGGAGGCAG